AUAUGCUUCUAGAGACAAACACUUCUCCCUGAAGCUUAGGGGCUUGGCCCUGGCACCUCUGCCCCCUCGGCGAAGCUCGUGGGAGCCUGCACCCUCUCUCCAGGGGCUGCCCCGUUUCCCCCGGCCGGGUCGGCCCUCUCUCUGAACUGCUGCCUGUGUCUGCCCCUCCCUGCACACUGACGACUUUUGCUUAGUGUGGUAGCGUGUCCCAGUGUGUGCUGUUCUGCCUAACCCUGUGGUCUUGUGUCGUUUCUUUUUCCCUUGCAGGGUCUGCCCUGAAGCGUCUCUGCCUAGGCAAAGAACACAGCAGUAGGUCCUCCACCAGCAGCCUGGCCCCAGGCCCUGAGCCAGGCCCCCAGCCCGCCCUGCACGUCCAGGCGCAGGUGAACAACAGCAACAACAAGAAGGGUACCUUCACGGACGACCUGCACAAGCUGGUGGACGAGUGGACGAGCAAGACGGUGGGGGCCGCGCAGCUGAAGCCCACGCUCAACCAGCUGAAGCAGACCCAGAAGCUGCAAGACAUGGAGGCCCAGGCAGGCUGGGCUGCCCCUGGCGAGGCGCGGGCUCCCCAAGAACUAGGCUUCUCCACUUUACAGAUUGGGAGGUGAGCGACGCGCCCACAGCUCCGCAGCUGGCAGGUGGAAAGGACAGGCCAGGCCAGGCCGGGGCUGUGACUCCACAGCUCAGAUACAGCAGCUGCCCCAGCCUGGGCAGCCCAAGCCCCGCACUCAGAGCAGGUAGCCCUGGUCUUGGCAGACAGGCCCACCUCUGCCUGGGUUCUGUUUGUGCCCAGGCUGGAGACCAGGGCAGGUGUGCAUGUCACCCAAGUGACACCAGCGUCGGGCCAUAGUUCACACGCACCUGAGCCAAUGUGGGGUGGAAGUGAGGACCUGCUGUCCUAGGUUUUCACACCUAACUUGUUUGAUGUCAGCGCGAGUUGGAGAAGCAUCUGCUGUUUUUCAGCUUUCUGGAGGGGUUUGUGGAAGACUGGUGUUAUUUCUAUCUCAAAUAUUUAGUAAAGGUCAUUUGUGAAUCCAUCUGGGCUGGAGUUUUGUUUUUGUAUUUUUUAGCGUGGGAUACUUUCCUCUAUGAUCUUUUACCUUAAAAUUUUUCAAACACACAGAAGAGUGAACAUCCAUAGGACCCACUACGUACACUCUAAUU
rnacentral:lncRNA from 1 species